CGAACCCGAGGGAACUCCAGCCGGAGAGCGGAGAGGGGCCCGGGGCAGUCGGGCCACCUGAGGUGCGGCAGUCCGAGUCCACCUCCACCAGGCCGGGGGUCCAGGUUCUGAGGAGACCCCGAACCCGCCCACACUGCCUGCAUCCCUCCUCCGGACCCCUCCGACGUUAAGGCGGCGGGUCUCCAUACCCAGGGAAACCUCCUCUACCAAUGGCAUAUUCCAUCAAUCGUGACCUGAUGUCCCAUUCGCCAGAGCACAUAGCAGGGAAGAGCACUGAGCGUCUGAGGACCCGCCUCAUGGUUUAGCGUCUCAGGGAAAUUCCCUGGCUGGAUUCUCCUGGCCAGGUCACUUUGGUUAAAAUGUAGCUGGAUCUAUAAAUACAGUGUGGAAUGUCCCCAUAGUGGGAAUUCCUGCAUCCAGGCAUAACCAGCAGAAGAAACUCUUCAAACUAUGCAUUAUGAGCAGGUAACUUCUUCGCCUGUUGGCUGGCUCUGGGAAAAGAUGAAGAAGACAUCCUUGUCAAAUGUAGGAAUUUAAACUCCACAGAAGAAAACUCAAAUUACCAACCUACAAGGUAAAUAAGGAAACAGAGGCUCAGGAAGAUGAAGCAACUUCUCCAAGGCCCACUGCAGAAUCUUCUUGGGCCAUUACUCCCUCGGAGAGAAGCAAAUCCUUCAUAGGGAAUGCUGGAUGUGCCUGUGACAAACUAUUAACACAAGAAAACAGAAGGAUAUGGUGAAACCAAGAGACUAGCUGCUAAGAAACACAUGGGAUGUUGCCCUGCAGAGUGCCCUGGGAUCUCUUCUUGAAGGGACCAACUGCCCUGAAGCCAGGUGUUUUUCUUGGGAUUCUUGGACUGGAGUUGUCACUCAGGUCGAUUUCAGCUGUGCCUGCGAUGACCAGUUCCAGUUCUCUUGCAUCAAAAACAGACACCAGCCUGGCAUCCACCACCUGUGGAAUAAAAAGAAUGCAGGGCAUGGCUUAUGAAUCAGGAGAAAUC